UACGUAGGGGGCAAGCGUUGUCCGGAAUCAUUGGGCGUAAAGGGCGCGUAGGCGGUACUUCAAGUCAGGCGUGAAAGCCCCGGGCUCAACCUGGGAACCGCGCUUGAGACUGGAGAACUAGAGUUCGGGAGAGGAUGGUGGAAUUCCCAGUGUAGAGGUGAAAUUCGUAGAUAUUGGGAAGAACACCGAUGGCGAAGGCAGCCAUCUGGGCCGACACUGACGCUGAGGCGCGAAAGCGUGGGGAGCAAACAGG
rnacentral:rRNA from 1 species